rnacentral:tRNA from 1 species
UAUAUUUUAGUGUAAGAAGCACAAAAGAUUUUGAUUCUUUUAGUAAUAGUUUAAUUCUAUUUAAUAUAA